rnacentral:lncRNA from 1 species
GAGAAGGCAUGUCAAGGUAAAUUGUUUUGUGGAUAGUUCCGUGCCCCUGCACUUCUCUCCCUGCUCACCACCACAACCCUUCCUCUCCAACAUUCGAACGGUGAAGACAAGGUAAUGGAUAGUUUUGUUAAUAAUUUAGGAUUUUCUGAAAUUUAUUGAAUUUUUUGAUUUAUUCUUAUGUCUAAUCCUCAUUGUGAUUGGUGGAACUUGGUCAUUUUAAAUUCGCAUCAUUUGUUUCAUUGUGUUAUACUAUUAUUAUAUUUGAAAAUUUUAUGAAAAUAUAAGCAACAUGUUUCGUUAUAGAUUAUAUUUUAGUAACACAAAUGCAGAGAAAGUAGUAGCAAACAACUCUUUUUUCCUGAUACUUUAGUAAGUUACUAGUGUUUAAAGAAAUGUUUUAUAACCAUGUGUUCUAUCUAUAAUUUUGAUUCUCUGGUGAAAAAUGCAUGUUUUAGUGUAUCUUGUAGUAGGUUUGAUCGAUAGUUAGAUGAUGAUUCAUGAAAUUUAACUUUAAAAUUUUGAUACUUUAGUAAGUUACUAGCAUUUGAAGUGUAGACUACUCUGUAUUACAGUUGAGUUUAAUAUAUAAUUAGAUUAGAUUAGACGGUUCAUUAAAUGCAAUGAAUGUGAAGAUGAUAACCAAGGAAAGAAGAUAAAAAAGAAGCAGAUGCUAAUGGAAGGAAACACACCGAAGGAUAGCAGAGAAAGAUACUGACUGAACAAGUAAAUUUUGUUAGGCAAACUGCUUCUGCAAUAUGCUAGGCCAGUGUGAUAUCGUUUGAAAAUUAUUUAUAAGUUAGAGACCCCUUACCAUACAAAUUGAUUUUGUGAAGUUGAGUUAUACUCAAUCCAAGUUGUAACAAUUUUCAUUGCCGAACACUCCAAGUUGUAACAAAUUGGUGUACAAUCUGUUUGAAUUUCAUACCAAUGUGAAUGCUUAUUUGAGAAUGUAAAAAAGUGCUAUGCAGUGAACAAGCUCUGGAGAAAUGAGUACCGAGCUUUCGGACACCCACGUUGAUCCAGCUCUGUGGGAAAUUAGUGGACACAUGCAGUGU